rnacentral:rRNA from 1 species
AACGAACGCUGGCGGCAUGCCUAACACAUGCAAGUCGAACGAGACCUUCGGGUCUAGUGGCGCACGGGUGCGUAACGCGUGGGAACCUGCCCUUAGGUUCGGAAUAACUCCCCGAAAGGGGUGCUAAUACCGGUUAAUGUCUUCGGACCAAAGAUUUAUCGCCUUUGGAUGGGCCCGCGUUGGAUUAGCUAGUUGGUAGGGUAAAAGCCUACCAAGGCGACGAUCCAUAGCUGGUCUGAGAGGAUGAUCAGCCACACUGGGACUGAGACACGGCCCAGACUCCUACGGGAGGCAGCAGUGGGGAAUAUUGGACAUUGGGCGAAAGCCUGAUCCAGCAAUGCCGCGUGAGUGAUGAAGGCCUUAGGGUUGUAAAGCUCUUUUACCCGGGAUGAUAAUGACAGUACCGGGAGAAUAAGCGCCGGCUAACUCCGUG